rnacentral:misc_RNA from 1 species
GGUGAAACUACUUGCUCCUGAGAUUAUGUCAUAAUCAUUAAUAGUGAUUGAUUCUGUUAUACAACUCUUCACUCAUCACAUGUAAAGAAAAGCCGCUGAUGUGAUAACGGCAAGUGCUCGUCUUUCCUUAAACAAGUGAGCAAUCAAGAUUUAUUCAGUCUUGUUUUGUAUUAUUUCUUAGCAGAAACAACUGUAAGAUAGUGCUGAGAUGAUCAAAUAGAAUUAGAGAGCUGCUGCCAUUGAAGCCUAGGCCUCCCGCUUGGGUCGGUUGCGAGUUCGUGUGCCUUGAAGAGCAGGCUGCUGCACUUCAUCCUUUAUGGGAAAGUCGACAUCAUCGUCACCAUCCUCUUCAUCUGCUUCCCUGAUUGCUUGAUUAAUUGCAAGCUGCUCCAUAAAACCAGGUAAGUCAAGAAUUAUUACAAGGAUAAUGACACAUCAGCAUGCAGAUACAACUACAAGUUAGAAAAAAUAUCAUGCAACAUUUUCAGAUUUUCUACAUAUUGAAAAAUCUUCAUCUAAUUACAACCACUCUUCCACUAUGAAUAACAUAAGAAAUAACACAGGAGCACAGAACUAAAAGUCAGGAAGUAAUAUGCAAAGAAAACGUUAUCUCAUAACGAAAUAGCAGUAGUAUGAACUCACUAGCUGGUAGAAAGUCAUGUUUAGCUGAUUUAAGCUUACAAAAUAAUGCUACAAAACAAUAUGCAUUAGGCACCAUUGUAUGCUAAAUACUGGGAAUAAAAGUAAGUUGAGACCACAAGUUUAGAAGUUUAGCCUGUGAAUGGUCAAUAUCUCAACGUACACCCACGAAUGAUUAGUCCUCUGGGCAAUAAGUACAAAGCAAGCUUUGGGUUGUUUGAUUCGGUAUUGUUAGGAGUAAAUAUUCAAUUAAACAAGUAUCUGUUCGUUGACAUUAUAUAAUGCAAAUACUUGAAAUUCUCAGUAUCUCUAACUGUUUAUGUUACGCCAUGAAGUUCUUCACAUCGGAACGAAACAAAGACGGCUUCUUUAAAACUAAAAAUACACUUCCCAUAAAUGACUAAUUAAGAAUGAAGCAGCACUCUUCGUUGCACCAAACCCAGUACGGAAUUGUGUCAAGCACCUAGUGGGUAUUAAAAGAAAAUGAAAAUGCCCAACUCAUGGAAAUCUUUGCCCAGUUGAUAAUAUCAACGCAAAAGUAAAACAAGAUAAAAGUUAAUAUCAAACACCUCCUCCAGAUAGUCUCUGUCAAGCUUAUCAGCAAUUUUAAUAGAGGUGAAGAUGGUGCCAAGGAGGAGAGACAGAGGGAACACGAAUGCAAUCACGUAGCUGGUCGUACUGGGACCCGCACGCGUGACCACAGUCAAACGUCUCCUCGUUUGACAAUCUCCGGCGAAGCGAAUUGCCGGCGAGGUUGACAAGUGCAUAGGCUUGAAGGAGGCACGAACGGGUGUGGCGGAGAUGGGGACUGUAAGAGAGGCUGAGCUGGGGAUUAGGAAACUCGCCAUUGUGCCUUUGGGGGAACCUAUUUGGAGCGGAUAUUUUAUGGGUCAAGC